rnacentral:misc_RNA from 1 species
AACGGUCUAUACCUGCGGUACCUGCGGAAGGAUCAUUACCGAGUGAGGGCCCUCUGGGUCCAACCUCCCACCCGUGUUUAUCGUACCUUGUUGCUUCGGCGGGCCCGCCUCACGGCCGCCGGGGGGCACCUGCCCCCGGGCCCGCGCCCGCCGAAGACAUCAUUGAACUCUGUCUGAAGAUUGCAGUCUGAGUAGAUUAGCUAAAUCAGUUAAAACUUUUAGCAACGGAUCUCUAGAUCG